UCGGGGGUACUCGAGUGGCGAACGGGUGAGUAACACGUGGGCAAUCUGCCCUGCACUUCGGGAUAAGCCUGGGAAACUGGGUCUAAUACCGGAUAGGACCUUUAGGCGCAUGUCUUUAUGUGGAAAGCUUUUGCGGUGUGGGAUGGGCCCGCGGCCUAUCAGCUUGUUGGUGGGGUGAUGGCCUACCAAGGCGACGACGGGUAGCCGGCCUGAGAGGGUGUCCGGCCACACUGGGACUGAGAUACGGCCCAGACUCCUACGGGAGGCAGCAGUGGGGAAUAUUGCACAAUGGGCGCAAGCCUGAUGCAGCGACGCCGCGUGGGGGAUGACGGCCUUUCGGGUUGUAAACCUCUUUCACCAUCGACGAAGGUUCGGGUUUUCUCGGAUUGACGGUAGGUGGAGAAGAAGCACCGGCCAACUACGUGCCAGCAGCCGCGGUAAUACGUAGGGUGCGAGCGUUGUCCGGAAUUACUGGGCGUAAAGAGCUCGUAGGUGGUUUGUCGCGUUGUUCGUGAAAUCUCACGGCUUAACUGUGAGCGUGCGGGCGAUACGGGCAGACUAGAGUACUGCAGGGGAGACUGGAAUUCCUGGUGUAGCGGUGGAAUGCGCAGAUAUCAGGAGGAACACCGGUGGCGAAGGCGGGUCUCUGGGCAGUAACUGACGCUGAGGAGCGAAAGCGUGGGGAGCGAACAGGAUUAGAUACCCUGGUAGUCCACGCCGUAAACGGUGGGUACUAGGUGUGGGUUUCCUUCCUUGGGAUCCGUGCCGUAGCUAACGCAUUAAGUACCCCGCCUGGGGAGUACGGCCGCAAGGCUAAAACUCAAAGGAAUUGACGGGGGCCCGCACAAGCGGCGGAGCAUGUGGAUUAAUUCGAUGCAACGCGAAGAACCUUACCUGGGUUUGACAUGCACAGGACGCGUCUAGAGAUAGGCGUUCCCUUGUGGCCUGUGUGCAGGUGGUGCAUGGCUGUCGUCAGCUCGUGUCGUGAGAUGUUGGGUUAAGUCCCGCAACGAGCGCAACCCUUGUCUCAUGUUGCCAGCGGGUAAUGCCGGGGACUCGUGAGAGACUGCCGGGGUCAACUCGGAGGAAGGUGGGGAUGACGUCAAGUCAUCAUGCCCCUUAUGUCCAGGGCUUCACACAUGCUACAAUGGCCGGUACAAAGGGCUGCGAUGCCGCAAGGUUAAGCGAAUCCUUUUAAAGCCGGUCUCAGUUCGGAUUGGGGUCUGCAACUCGACCCCAUGAAGUCGGAGUCGCUAGUAAUCGCAGAUCAGCAACGCUGCGGUGAAUACGUUCCCGGGCCUUGUACACACCGCCCGUCACGUCAUGAAAGUCGGUAACACCCGAAGCCAGUGGCC
rnacentral:rRNA from 1 species